UACGUAGGGUGCAAGCGUUGUCCGGAAUUAUUGGGCGUAAAGAGCUCGUAGGCGGCUUGUCGCGUCGACUGUGAAAUCCCGCGGCUCAACUGCGGGUCUGCAGUCGAUACGGGCGGCUAGAGUCGGUAGGGGAGACUGGAAUUCCUGGUGUAGCGGUGAAAUGCGCAGAUAUCAGGAAGAACACCCGGUGGCGAAGGCGGGCUCUCGUGGGACG
rnacentral:rRNA from 1 species